rnacentral:rRNA from 1 species
UACGUAGGGUGCAAGCGUUGUCCGGAAUUAUUGGGCGUAAAGAGCUCGUAGGUGGCCUGUCGCGUCGGCUGUGAAAACUCGGGGCUCAACUCCGAGCUUGCAGUCGAUACGGGCAGGCUAGAGUUCGGCAGGGGAGACUGGAAUUCCUGGUGUAGCGGUGAAAUGCGCAGAUAUCAGGAGGAACACCGAUGGCGAAGGCAGUGGGCUGGGCCGGCACUGACGCUGAGGUGCGAAAGCGUGGGGAGCGAACAGG